rnacentral:snoRNA from 1 species
GAGACUAUGCUUUCAGGGAUCAUUUCUAUAGUUCGUUACUAGAGAAGUUUCUCUGAUUGUGUGGAGUACUGGAAACCAUGAGGAGGAGGUGCGGUGCUGUCUCCUCAGCCUGAAGCUGGUUCUUGGUGUUGCUUUAUUGCAACUGCCAUUUGCCACUGAUGAUCGUUCUUACUUUCUUUCAAGGGAGUAAGAGGGAGAGAGCACGGUCUGAGUGGU